UUGGAGGGCAAGUCUGGUGCCAGCAGCCGCGGUAAUUCCAGCUCCAAUAGCGUAUAUUAAAGUUGUUGCAGUUAAAAAGCUCGUAGUUGAAUUUCGGGGUCAGUAGGUUGGUCGUGCCACUGGUAUGUACUGGCUUUACUGAUUCCUCCUUCUUGAAGAACUGUAAUGUCAUUAAUUUGGUGUUGCAGGGAGACAGGACUGUUACUUUGAAAAAAUUAGAGUGUUUAAAGCAGGCUUUGGCUCGAAUACAUUAGCAUGGAAUAAUGAAAUAGGACGUUCGAUCCUAUUUUGUUGGUUUCUAGGAUUGACGUAAUGAUUAAUAGGGAUAGUUGGGGGCAUUAGUAUUCAAUUGUCAGAGGUGAAAUUCUUGGAUUUAUUGAAGACUAACUUCUGCGAAAGCAUUUGCCAAGGAUGUUUUCAUUAAUCAAGAACGAAAGUUAGGGGAUCGAAGACGAUCAGAUACCGUCGUAGUCUUAACCAUAAACUAUGCCGACUAGGGAUCGGACGAUGUUAAUUUUUCUUGACUCGUUCGGCGCCUUACGGGAAAC
rnacentral:rRNA from 1 species